rnacentral:snRNA from 1 species
AUGUAUUAACUUGAUACACAUCUGAUAAAAUUAGAAUGAUACAGAGAAGAUUAACAUGGUCUCUGCGCAAGGAUGACACGCAUAAAUUGAGGAGGAGGGGGGAUUCUGAGAAUUUUU